GUUGGGAUCGAGGGCUGCAACCCGCCCUCGUGAACAUGGAAUCCCUAGUAAUCGCGGGUCAUCAACCCGCGGUGAAUACGUCCCCGCCCCUUGCACACACCGCCCGUCGCUCCACCCGAGUGAGGCCUAGAUGAGGCGCAGUUAACUUGGCUGCGUCGAAUCUAGGCUUCGCGAGGGGGGAGAAGUCGUAACAAGGUGGCCGUAGGGGAACCUGCGGCCGGAUCACCUCCUAAG
rnacentral:rRNA from 1 species